UGUUUCCACCUGUAUCCAAUCGCCUCCAGGAUAUUCAAGUUCCCCUUUGAGCUCAGUUUCUUUGCCUGAUGUGUGACAUUAUUGUGUCCUGUUAACUCCAUAUCGUGUUCCAGGUUGGAGUCCCGACACCAAGCGUGAUGAUUGAGAAGAUGUAAGUGUCCAACAUUGACCAUCCAGACACACGUGCUGUGUGUGCGCUUUGGUCCAGUCAGUCCAGUUCAGAACAACGCUUGUGGUGGAGACCUCAACCUUCAGAAAGGAGCUCUGCAGAGGAACUACAGAGAAACGUUAAAUGUUCUAAACCGAUCAGUUGCGCACUUAAGAAAAUCUUUACCGCAAUGUGAAGAGCUGAUCUCACCCAGCAGGAGCUUUUGUUCCAGCUUCUGGUCCAAUUUGUACGAUUGUAAAGACAGAUUCCGUUCAGGAGGUGACUGUGGUACAUGAACGUCCAUGAUACACUCACACACACUCUGACACACCACACUGCUGCUGAGGACCUGAUACAGAGACCAUAUGAGACAAGAUGCACACCUGAGUUAUUGUAAAAGUUGAGAAAACUGUAAAACUGAGAACAUUGUCACAUUUCCUAUAACAGAAUCUUUAUUGCAGUUUUAUUUAA